CCUACGGGAGGCAGCAGUGGGGAAUCUUGCUCAAUGGGCGAAAGCCUGACGCACCCACGCCGCGUGAGUGAAGAAGGCCUUCGGGUUGUAAAGCUCUGUCGGAGGGGACGAAAAUGGUCUGGGUUAACAGCCCACGCAACUGACGGUACCCUUAAAGGAAGCACCGGCUAACUCUGUGCCAGCAGCCGCGGUAAUACAGAGGGUGCAAGCGUUGCUCGGAAUUAUUGGGCGUAAAGGGCAGGUAGGUGGUCUGAUUUGUCUGUUGGUGAAAGCCCGGGGCUUAACUCCGGAAGUGCCACAGAAACGGUCAGACUUCGAGUACUGGAGAGGUGAGUGGAAUUCCCGGUGUAACGGUGAAAUGCGUAGAGAUCGGGAGGAACACCAGAGGCGAAGGCGGCUCACUGGACAGUUACUGACACUCAACUGCGAAAGCGUGGGGAGCAAACAGGAUUACAUACCCUGGUAGUCCACGCCGUAAACGAUGGGUACUAGCUUUGGCGGGUCUUGACCCCUGCUGAAGCGGAGCUAACGCACUAAUUACCCCGCCUGGGAAGUACGGUCGCAAGACUAAAACUCAAAGGAAUUGACGGGGGCCCGCACAAGCGGUGGAUCAUGUGGUUUAAUUCGAAGCAACGCGAAGAACCUUACCUGGGUUUGACAUCCUUGGAGAAGUGUAGAGAUACGUCUUUCGUAUCAAUACGACCAAGUGACAUGUGCUGCAUGGUCUGUCGUCAGCUCGUGUGGUGACAUGUUGGGUAAAGUCCCGCAUGAACCUCAGCCUUUGUCUUU
rnacentral:rRNA from 1 species